CCCGCAUCCUCCUUUAUAUAUAUAUAUUGAUAUUGAUGAUUUAAAUAAAAAUCAGAAAGCAAGUUGCCCACAUCUCCUCAUAGCCACCUUAUCCCUGGGAUAUCAAAAAUCCAUACUUUUGAAAUUUGAGGUAUGAAUUUUAAUUUUAAUUUUUAUUCAACCAUAUAUCAUGAAUGAGUUUGGAAUACCCGAACCCAUGCCUGAUUUCAUAACACUCUUAACCAAACGACCCUCAUAAGACACUUGUUAGGAAAUGCACACGGUAAUGCUUCUUUUUGAAAAUGUUGCAAACAACGGCUGAUCCAACUUGACAGCAGACUUCUGCCUCUCACGGUCCCUGAAAAAUAUCAAGUCCUCUGGAUAGGUCGAUUUGAAUACCAUGUCAUACCUGGAUGAAAAUCACCAACAUAAGCUCUUACUAUCACAUUAAACUUACAGGAUCAAACCAUAGUAGCUAAUCAUAAUUACAUAACAUACAGUACUAAAAAACUUCAGUACAAGUUGAAAUACAAAGAUAUUUGUCCACUUAAUUACUAACAAUAACCAAUCAACCCAUGAGACGUAAAUAGGGCAAGGCCACUAGUUUCUUCUCUUUCUGAUUUGUUCUGGAGGUUACCUCAAGUGUUUACUGAAACAUUUGUCACUUUAAUCACAAUUGCUUGCGGGUAAAUUGUUUGGUAAUAAGAAUUAUUCUUUGAUACAACAAAAUUAAGUAAGCUAAUGUUGCAUUAGGCUCACACGUCCUAGUGCUGCGAAACCCACAAUUCAACUUCAUAGAUAACCCUGAUACUGAGAAGAAUGAACCUGAUAACUUUUGAUGGCAAAGAUUGCCGGAAGAAAGCUAAAAUGGUCUUGCAGCCUCUUCCAUUAACUUCUUUACUCUCAUCAAUCUUUCCAAUUCUUUGAGAACCUAAUAUUAUUACAGGCAUAUAAAUGCUCAUGUUAAUUAGCUUGUCAAAUGUAAUAUAUACACAUUACAAAAUAUUUUUUUUUGUUAAUUAUUUUUAUUUUAUGAUUCCUAUUUAUUACCUAAAAAUUAUUACUCUUUUAUGGUUCUAAUUUUUUUGCUAUUAGUGUUUUUUAAUGAUUAUUAUCUUUGCAGUCCUUUAUUUCUAUAGGAAAUUUAAAAAAAAAAUUAUGAGACUAAAUUGAAAAUAAAAAUUGUAUGUAUUACUCUACAAAUCUUAAAUAUAAAUAGUAUUUUAUAUAUGAUUGUUAGUUUAAAUAAAUAUAAUCCAACUUAGGAUUUCUAAAUAAGAAAAAAAUUGUAUUAUCUUUAGAAUCCAAAAGGAAAAGAACUGUAUUAAUUUUUGGAAUCUUUGAACCUAAUUUUUUAAACAUAAUCUUAUUUCUUUUAGGAUUACUAAAUAAGAAAAAAAUUAUGUCAUCUUUAGAAUUCAAUAAAAAAUAUUAAAUAAAAAAGAAAAAAAUUGUAUCAUCUUUAAAAUUCAAUAAGAAAAGAAUUGUAUCUUCUUUAGAAUCCUUAAACAUGAUUUUUUGAAUUAUAACUAUAUUUUCUAUCCGAAAUUUAAAAAAAAUUAGAAGACUGAAUCGAGUAAUUGUAGAGACGCCCGCAUCCUCCUUUAUAUAUAUAUAUUGAUAUUGAUGAUUUAAAUAAAAAUCAGAAAGCAAGUUGCCCACAUCUCCUCAUAGCCACCUUAUCCCUGGGAUAUCAAAAAUCCAUACUUUUGAAAUUUGAGGUAUGAAUUUUAAUUUUAAUUUUUAUUCAACCAUAUAUCAUGAAUGAGUUUGGAAUACCCGAACCCAUGCCUGAUUUCAUAACACUCUUAACCAAACGACCCUCAUAAGACACUUGUUAGGAAAUGCACACGGUAAUGCUUCUUUUU
rnacentral:lncRNA from 1 species